rnacentral:snRNA from 1 species
GUGCUCGCUUCGGCAGCACAUAUACUAAAAUUGGAACAAUGCAGAGAAGAUUAGCACGGCCCCUGCGCGAGGAUGACACGCAAAUUCGUGAAGCGUCCCAUAUUUUU